rnacentral:tRNA from 1 species
UCCCUGGUGGUCCAGUGGGUAUAACUCUGCAUCCCCAAUGCAGGGGACCUGGGUUUGAUCCCUGAUCAGGGAA